UACGUAGGUGGCAAGCGUUGUCCGGAUUUACUGGGCGUAAAGAGCGCGCAGGCGGUCGUUCAAGUCGCGUGUGAAAGCCCCCGGCUCAACUGGGGAGGGUCACGCGAUACUGAUCGACUCGAAGGCAGGAGAGGGUAGUGGAAUUCCUGGUGUAGCGGUGAAAUGCGCAGAUAUCAGGAGGAACACCGGUGGCGAAGGCGGGUCUCUGGGCCGUAACUGACGCUGAGGAGCGAAAGCGUGGGGAGCGAACAGG
rnacentral:rRNA from 1 species